GGAUCGAGACGGUGUCGGAGGGGAGGGGCCGAUGGGUCAGGGGGCGGGGCCGGAGGGCGAGUAGGUGAGGCCGAAUAGUCGGUGUGGGGUCUCAAUGAACACGGGAAGAAGCGCGAUGUGGAGGUUGUGGGUCCUCAGGUUAAUGUGUGAAGGAAAUCUCCUGGUCUACAUGUGACUCCAGAUUCACAGCAAUAUGGCUGACUGCCCUCUGAAAUGGUUUAACAAGCUACUCAGUUCAAGGGUAAUUAGGAUGGGCAACAAAUACUGGCUCUGCCAGUGACUCCAAUUAAAUACAUGUUCAAAGAAUUCCUCGCAGUGACCCCACCUCUCCAAACCCAUCCCAGAAACUGAGGGAGGGUUUCAGUUGCCUAUUGCUAAGGAACUCUUACCCGAAGUUCACCUGUCUAAACACUGAAUGUUACGGAUCUUUUCUAAAAUAAAACUGUUAGAUACGAUGUAGGAUGCAGAGUAACAAAAAUCUUAAAGGAAAUUGCAGCAAUGAGCACCAGGACUGCUUUUUAUCAACUCUCACUUCAUAAUCUCCUGAUUUUAAGCUAGGCAAAUGUAUAAAUGACAGUUGGUAGUUAGCACUGCAGCCCAGACAUAUGUGUAACCAAAAUGUAAAACAUUCACCUGGUUUAAAAGAUGACACAUUGUUGGAUAUUGUGAUUUAAGUACAACACUGCUGAUUCUUCUCAAUCUUUUACAAACAAUAGUUGAUCCCUCAGCCUGAAUACAGAUCUCCCACAAAUCUGUUCAAGGUCCAAAUUACAGAACUUUAGGAAAAAAAACUCUUAAUAGUUGCUCAGGAAUGUUCUUCAAAUUGAACAUUUUUAAACAUGUUUAACACUUAUCCUGUGAGCUUGUUUUGUUUGGUAUUCUGUUUGUGGCAUGGUUGUAUAUCACAUUAAAAAUGGAAAUGUUACCCUGACUGUA